UCACGAUGCGGUCCAAAACGGAAAAUAAUAAUGAGUACUAUAUCCAGCAUAAAACUAUCUUUGCCUCUUUCUAGUUUUGAAUAACAAAAUAACAGAAACAUUAUGAAUAGAAUGUUGUGAAAUACCAGAAACGUGCUCCAUUUCAAUCGAUCGAUUUGCGUUUAACUUGUCUGAUGUCUCUGACGAUUUUGUGAUUGCUUUAUUUAAUUCGUAGGAUGUAAAGUACUAAUAAGUAUGAAGUUUGUGAUUUGUGCGGUUCAUUUCCAAUAUAUAUCAGAAAAUAUUAAAGUUGUGGUUUGAUAUUUUACUGUUUAUAAUCACGAAACCAUGGAUUGGAUAAUUUCGGAUGAGUUAGGGGUAACUGUGGGUCAUGUAGUUGGCUGGGGAGCAGCUGGUGCUAUGAUAGUAGGUGGCGUUGCCCCAUACAUACCCCAGUACAUACAAAUCAAGAAGACACAAGAUGCCGAAGGGUUCUCUUUAUAUGUUUGUUUAGCUCUGCUGAUAGCAAAUACUUUAAGGAUAUUGUUUUGGUUUGGUAAACGCUAUGAGCUACCUUUACUAAUCCAAAGUAUAGUAAUGAAUUGCACAAUGUUUGUCAUGAUACAUUUGUGUGUAAAUGUACGAAAAAAGAACCAAAUUAUAAGGGCAAGGGAGAGAAUAUUUACAGGUGCAAUAUUCAUGUUAUAUAUACUGUUGUGUUGUGUGAACGGCUCAGCCCAGCCUGAUCAAACGGCACGCUGGCUGGACCAGCGUAGCGGCAUCGCCGGCGGGGAGAAGCCCCAUCGCUUCUAUGAUAUGGAAAGGAAAUAUUUUUGGGCCUGGACUGACUUCCAGAGCUAUGUAGACUGUAUGUUGGUGUUCUCGGUGCUGGGCGCCGCGAUCACCUACUUGUUGAUAGAGUUCUCGCCUUUCGUGGAACUUAUUGGGUUCCUCGCUCUCUUCACAGAGGCUAUGCUUGGCGCUCCUCAGAUAGCCAGAAAUCACAAAAAUAAAAGUACAGAAGGCAUGAGCGUCAGCAUGGUGAUAAUGUGGACGUGUGGAGACGUAUUCAAGACUACAUACUUCGUCUUGAGGGAAGCGCCUCCUCAGUUUUGGUUGUGUGGAAGCCUACAGGUCUCAUUAGAUGUCGUCAUACUCUUUCAAAUGGUCAGGUGAUGACACUCUGACGAUAUCGGUUCGCAUGUGGGUGCCCAGCCUUCCGAUAUUCAGUCCUCGCUUUAACACCGGGUAACCUACCUGUAAGGGGUGUGGCUGUAUCGCCACAAAACGGCGGCGGCGAGGCGGAUGCGUAGGGGCGAUUAGCAAUGGACGGAGACUGACUUAUAGCACCCGCCGGCCGCGGCUCGGUCGCCUAACGCGAUCAGCGCUUCCAUAGUUUUCAUCGCGUUGUGUGCACCUUACACGGUACAAUUCAUUUGCCUUCCCUACAUAUUAUGACGAUUUUUCUGUGGGUUGUGUGAAAAUGAAGUUGCUGACUAUCUUUAACUUAAAUACGACAGUUUUGAAACGUAUUUAGCCCUAAAGAUGACCAAAUUACUUGUGGUGCAAGAGAAAAUGACUGUUAACGAAAUCUGUUGUUCGAAAAUUGACAUGUUUAUUAUUUUCUAGUGGUUGCAAUAAUUCCCUAGGUAGACGGUGCUAUAGGUUUGUGCCUAAAUGAAUAUCAACGAGGUUCAUGAAAAGAAGUUCUAGUGAUGACGUUUGAUGUAUUGUUAUUAUUAAAUAAGGUGGAAAUAAUCAUCGUCAUUAGAUUAUAAAAUUUAGAAUGACCAAAAAGUUUUCCUGUCUUUUUAAAGUGAAUUUACUAGUCCAAAUAGACGCAUUGUAAGUCUAAAAAUGCUUGAUAGGGGGUAGAAAAUACAUGGAAUUGUUGUCCACGCUGAUAUCAAAUAAUGAAAUUUUGAUUCUUAUCUACGAAAUUACAAACAAAAUGUACAAGCAGGCAUUUUUAGCGUGGCGCUACGGGUUGUCAACAACAGCAAUAAUUCUUAGUUUGUUGCUGUGUAUAGAGAAGUACAAUAUUAAUAAUGUUAUUUUUUAAAUGUGACUAUAAAAUUGCUUUUAGAGAACGUGAGUCUUAACUUGAAGUACAUGUUAUUGUUAUAAAACAAUUAAAACUGUGCCCCAAAAACCGUACUGUGGGGUUCAACUAUGAUAUGUGUAUACUUGUAAAUAUUAUAGUUGUAAUUGUUUAUUCCAAGAAAUCUUGCAAUCAGUUACGCAUUUCAUAGCCAUACGAGUUAUGAGGUACAAUAGUGAUUAAGUUCUUAAAAUGCCAAUUUAGAUAAAAUUACAUAAUUAUACAGAUUAGUAUAUGUAUGAUAUUUUUUACGCAUUAGUCAAAUAUUAUGUAUUUAGGAAAUUUACUAAUGUACAUCAAAGUAUGAACGGUCUGACGAAUCAGUGGUUUUGAGUUUGAACUCCCGCAUGCGAUGGUACCUGGAAAGAGGCUAAUGCUGGGCACCGCUUUGAAAUAAAAUACGGAAGAUUUAACUAUUGACCCGUUAAAUGAUAGUACAUAAAACUUAACAAGUAUUGAUAAAAAUAAUGUUUCUUUUUGUAUAAGGUACAUAGGUUGAGUACUUUGCCUCAUCAAUGAGUACAUCUACAAUUCCUGCUUUGAUAAUGAAGUAUUAUAAAAUAUUUACAUUCCUCGACAUUGACCUCUCGAUAUUUUAUUCCAUUUUACCUUUUUGGUACAUGUACACAAUAGUUUUGUAAUAAUCCGACUGCUUCUGAAAAACGUGUUCGAUCAAUAUCUUCUGGUAGUGCUUCUAAAUUCCUACUAUUUUGUAACGUUUUAAAAUAGCCAUGACGGUAAUUUUUCUUCCUAAAUUUUUUAGAGGUUCAGAUGACGCAUGUUUAGCUUUUGGUGUGUUUUUGUAUUACUAACAAUAAUGUUCUACAACUUAUUAUUAAAUUCAACUUUAUAAAAUUUAGAUCAUUUAGAAAAAUAUAGAUUUUUGAAAUAUAUGGCUAUUAUUUUCUAGAUAUUGUCUUGUACACUUGUACUAUUGCUUGAAAGGUUGUAUCUGAAAUGGAAUAUUAACUAAUUAUGUGUUUGUGUGUUAUUAUUAUAAUUAAUGAAAGUGGCAACUAUACAGAUGAAACUAUACUCUCAUUCAUUUGACUUUAACUAUGCAUAAUAGCUUUUAACGAAUGUAUUUUUAUGUAUUUAAGUAUUAUUAUCUACCCAGAUGUAUGUCUAAGUUUAAAUAGUCACCACCGUUAUGUACAAAUGUGUUAAUAUUUAGCAAAUUUAGGUAAAAUUUUAAGUGCAGAGAGGUAUUUUGGCAGCAUAGUUAGAUUUUUGAAUACACCAAUAUUUGAUGGGUGGUCUAUAAUUGUGAAAUCAGUCACUCUUUACUUAAAGUCUGUGGAAAGCCCUAUGUAACAAUUUACAUUUACUGCUUGCAUUAGCAAUAGUUAAGUCCCUAAGUCUGCUUUAAUAAAACAAAGAGUUUAAAUUAAAGAUUUAUUUUACACUUACAUGUUUCGUGAUAUAUUUUCAUAUAUGUAUAAAUUCUUUCUCGUUGGGUUUAAACCUACAGACAAUAAGUUGAGCCUGAGCAAGUAAUUUUCAGUCUCCAAACAUAGUUAUGUACUUAGCAUUAAAAUCUGAUAACUUUUCCAUUAGACAUAAUUUAUUACAACUUAUUAUGGUUUCGAGAAAUAUAAAUAUAUUGUCAACUGUGACCUUAUGCCUGCGUAUUGCGUAUCGACAUUACAUUGUCUAAAUUAAUACAUCAUUCCAUUGCAACAUUGUCCAUGUUAGUAUUAAAACAUUGAAACAUUUGACAGAUGUUUUGUAUCAUGUACCGUGCUUAUGUGACCCAAGUUGUGAAAAUCUUCUUUUCGUGAGGUCCUAUAUCUGUGUACGUUCAACUGGAAUACAUAGGUGGUUUCACAGUAAUACAUCGAUUCAAAAUUGCCUAUUGUGUUCCUCACCACAUGUUUAAACAUAUGUGUUAACAUUUUGAUAAAUACAAUGCAAAUAAUACUUAUUAAUGUAAAUAUUAAAAUAUUAUGUAUUUGUAAAACUGAUUUAUUAUUUGCAAUGCUUCCGCAAAUGGUUAUGAUUAAUACAAUUGUAUUUCAUGUACAUCUAAUUUCUAUUCAAUCAUUAUGUUGCGUCUUUUAGUUAGGGUAUUAAGUGGGAGUCACUUUAUAUUACAUGAUAUAUUAUUAUAAAGAAAUAUAAAAAUAUACAGUAUAUAAAUGUAUAAAUCUAUACACGAAGUCGAGAGAUAAGUAUAUAAAUGUGAUGGAACAUAUCAUAUUUAUAAUGAUAUACAUAUUAUAAUUUCUGUUGUAUGAAAAUAUAUGAAUAUAUUUGUCAAUUAAUAUUAAGUAGAUAUUGUAAAUGAAUGAAAUGUAAAGCAACCAUCGUAUGUUGUGAUGACAAAUGUACAUGUAAGUAUAUGUUGUGAUUUUAUGAGUUACAUUUUCGUAAAUGAAAUAAAGUUAUAUUAUUUGUUAAAAA